rnacentral:rRNA from 1 species
AGUGAACGCUGGCGGCAGGCCUAACACAUGCAAGUCGAACGGCCACACAGUAAGCGUUUUCUCUUACGGGUAGCGACUGACGGACGGGUGACAAAUACAUCACAUACCACUUUUUCUUGGGGGACAACGUAAGGCCACUUACGCUACCGGCGCAUACGUUCUACGGCUUGAAUCAAUAGUUCUUCGCACCUUUCGCGUCUCAUUGAGCCGAAGCCGGAUUAGCUAGUUGGCGGGGUAAAGGCCCACCAAGGCGACGAUCCGUAGCUGAUCUGAGAGGAUGAUCGGCCACACUGGAACUGAGACACGGUCCAGACUCCUACGGGAGGCAGCAGUAGGGAAUAUUGGACAAUGGGCGCAAGCCUGAUCGAGCCAUACCGCGUGGGUGAAGAAGGCCUUCGGGUUGUAAAACCCUUUUGUUAGGAAAGAAAAACUGCAUGUGAAACCCCCGCUGUUCUGACGGUACCCAAACAAUAAGCACCGGCUAACUUCGUG